GUUCACUGCCAAACCACCUUGGGCGUACCCAAUGUCAUCCAAUCACGGAAGCGAUGCAGGGUCAGGCCUUGUUAGCACUUGGAUGGAAGAUGAGGAAGUCACAAAUAGUGGAAU
rnacentral:rRNA from 1 species